GACAUAUCAUCAUGUGCGGUAUAUUCCCUACUCAACUGUUGACAGUAACAUAGGCCCACGUCCUCAACAGACAAUCCAAUUGCUUGCCCAAGUGCUCCAGUAUUUCAUCUCGUCGAAAUGUGUGUUGCAGAGAAUGCAAUAGUUGCCCCCGAUACUAAUGAUCACCAAGUGAUAUAACAAGUGUUUUUGUAUAUCACUGUUGAGCACCACGACCCGACGGUCCACACCGCGUACGGUCCAUCUAUAGGCGCAGACCAUCUGCGAAAAAAUCAGAUUAGGCGAUUAAAACUACUAUCUCCACACGUAUUUAUUCCUCUAAUCUCGCGGGAGCCGUUGGAGAAUGCCUAGGAAUGAGUCUAGAUCUUCCCCUUAUAUAUUUGAAGGGGUACGACCGAUUGAACAACCAACAAUCGAUCGUACAAUCAAUUUACCUUCAGUUCUUUACCUUUUGCCCUAGGAGUAGACAGUAACAUAGAUCUCUUCCUCUUAUCUUCACCUCUCUAUGGCUCUACGUCAUUUAGUGGAGUCUUGGGUGGUCUGUCGAUCCCAAGACAAUCUCUAGGAUCUCUCCUCCCCGAUGGGGUCCCUCCUAAGAGCGAGAUCUAGGUGCUCUUGGCGAACACCGUCCCCUCUGCGCACGCGCGGACCGUCUGACCACCACGCAAAUCGUCCAGCUCAUCGGGCAGAAACCCUAGCCUCUGUGCCAGGUUGCAGACUGUCCAGCCUAUGGCCACGGACCGUUCGCGCCUCCACGGAGAGCACCACCGUCGGUACUCAUCGCAUUGAUUGGCGCCUAGGUCGGCGCCAACACACUUUUUGUAGACUCCGCUGGGGACAUCGUGUGAAGAUCUAUCAAAUCGACCAUCAAUGGAUGGUUCAAAAGAUAGCUCUGACAUCUAUCCCAGCAACAUCAUUGAGCCGACUUGGAAAACUCUGCCGGUUGAAGAACAAUAGGAGUUUGAGGAGCAUAAGGAGCAACUGAUCAUGGAAGCACAGGUGAAGUUCCUGGCCAACUUCAAAGUGGACAGGAAUAACAAGGUCGUACGAUAGUGGGCAACUGAUCUGGCUUCGCACCGACCUGCUACGGCUAUACCCCCAAUGUAAGCGAGACAAACAAAAUAUGAUCUCUUAGAGCUUACAUAUAUGAGCAGUGAGACCAAAUGCAACAAAUUAUAGGAGGUAUGCAAAAUGAUUAUAAGAGGCUAGUGGAUGUAUUUGAUAAAUCUACUAUCAAGAAUUUUCCGUCGCAUGAGGUUGAAUUUGGCAUGGCCAAUCACAACUCCUUUACGGGAUGACGAUAGACACAUAUCCUAUACAACCGCUGCAUCCUACGCAAAUCGGGGGUAAACCCGCCGAUCUGCGUAGGGCCGAACCGUCCACGUGUGAAGGUGUUUGGACUAGCGGUCCUAACCAACUAGUGAAAUGAUACCGCGUGCCUAGAAUCUAGAUGGUGUGCGAGUUGACAUAAGCAAUUUAUCAUAGUUCGGGCAAUGCGAGGCCCUACUUCCACUAGAGGGGGGAUGAAGCUUGUAUUACUCGCAUUGAGGUGCUUGAAAUAGGGAUUACAAGCCAAGCGGGAGAGGGGAAGUCCCCAAGUCCCUAGAACAUAUUGAGGCAAGUGCCAAUACCGAAAGUCAGGACAAAACUACAAAGUGUUUCGCCUACCCCCUUGGAGGAGUCAUGACUGCCCUAUUUAUACACCUAGGGGAUGCAUGUUGUUGAGUCGCGUGCCGUCGCGCUUCUAGGGAAGAUGUCUUGGCGUCCUGUGGGUGACACGACCUUGCACUACAUUGUUGACUUGAGCCUGCUGUUUUCCUACUGACAGCCGAGGCCGAGGGGUUGGCCACAUGGAGAAAAUUGGAAUUCUGCCAUUAUGAAACUUAGGAUUCGCUCGAAUGCCAUUAUGAGAACACGCUUCGUUAAUACGCCAUUCUCAAACACUAGCUUACAGACAAAAUGCCAUUUAGGGGGUUAUUUGACAAAAUGCCAAUUGAUCGAACAUUUUUACCCCUAAACCAAAACUGUACGCCAGAAUGGCAUUUUGUCUGGAUCGUAUCUCCUCUCUGCAUCCUCCUUUUCUUAUCCUGUCUCUCGCUCGUAUCUCCUCCUCUCUGGACGAACCAGCAGCACACGGUGCCCCACGAUGAACUCCACCACGGCGCCCGGCUCCCCACGGCAAGCUCCACCGACGGUGGCCGGUUCCCCUCGACGAGCUACACUGACUUCCCCUCGGCGAGCUACAACGGCUUCCCCUUCGGCUACCCUCGGUGGCCGGUUCCCCUUAGCUACCCUCAGCGAGGUCCAGGUAUGCAAAUGGGCUUUAAGGCUUUAGACUUUAGGGUUUGUUCUGAUUUGAGUUAGCAGUACUGGAGAUCUCACAUUAUUGGUCACCAACAGUUGGCUAGAUGGAUUACAGCUGGAAUGAUUCUAUGUACGGGUAUGAUUCUACAUUUAAUAACUUUUAUAGAAAUCAAAUGAAGUAGUAUGAUUGUACAUUUUUUUUAUUUUCAGCUUUGACGAUGAGCUUCUGCCUAGCUUAGCAUUGGUAGUACAUCCUAGUGGUCACCCAAAGGUUGGUAUUGACUGGGACGCACUUCAAAUUGUUGAGAGGCAAGAUGAGGAAGGUAGGAUAGAAAUUGUUGACGAUGACAAAAUGUAUGAGUUGAUCGGGUUGAGAGCUGAGGAUGAAGCUGCUGAGAAGGCUGGUGAAGCUUUCAAGAUGCAAGAAGGUGAUGUCAAUAGAAGUUAUAGUGAGAAUGAAACUAUUGAUGCAGCCAUCCCUGUUGAUGAUGAAAUUCCAAAUGAGAGGGUGAUGUUGCAUGACCCAGACAAGCCUUGUAUGGAUAUUGGAACAAUGUACCCUAGCAAGCGUGACUUCAGGCUAGCUGUGAGACAGUGUGUGAUCAAUGAAGAGUUUGAGCUAGAAAUAUAUAAAACUGAUCCGAGUCAAUUUAUUGGUAAUUGCAAAGGAGAAGGUUGCCCUUGGCAUAUUGUGGGACGUAGGCAACAAUCUGGGAAUAGUGUUAUGGUAUAGACUUGUUGUUACUAAUCUAUGUUGUGCCCUUGCCAUCUUUGUUGUUACUAACUGGGGUUUAUUAUUGCAGGUCACUGUCUUAAUUGAGGAACACACUUGUACUUCGAGUGCAAGAAGGAAAACCACGACCCCUACUAGCGCUUGGGUAGCAUUAAAGGUUAUCCAUCUCCUCAAGAAGGAGUCUAACAUGGGUCCAAAGGAGCUGCGCAAAAGGUUGGAAGAAAAAUAUAAGUGUGAAAUUCAUUAUGACACGGUUUGGGCAUGGGCAUAUGGCAGACCAUACCUCAGCAUAGACUCAACUGCCCUCAAUGGUAGAUGGAAUGGGCAUAUGGCUGCAGCCACGACUAUUGAUGGUCAUAACUGGAUGUAUCCACUUGCAUUUGGAUACAUAGAUGGUGAAACUGAUGAUAAUUGGGUAUGGUUCAUGAGCCAACUGAAAAAGGCAAUAGGAGAUCUUUCAUUGCUUUUUGUAUGUACAGAUGCAUGCAAAGGGUUAGAAAAUUCAGUAAAACUUGUUUUCCCUCAGGCUGACCAAAGAGAAUGCUUUAGGCAUCUCAUGCAGAAUUUUGUUAAGAGGUUUGGAGGUGACAUAUUCUCUAAGAUGUACCCUACAGCUAGGGCAUAUAGGGCAGAAGUUUCACAAUUCUUUUACAAUCAAGUUGUGGAAGCUUCCCCAGAUGUAAAGAAAUGGCUAGAUACUUACCACAUGCUCAAAUGGAGGAGGAGUCACCAACAAUCUAGCUGAAGUCUUCAACAACUGGAUUAAAGAUUGGAAGGACCUUCCAGUUGUUGGGCUUGUAGACAAGUGUAGGGAGCUGAUAAUGGUGUUGUGGGAGAAAAGGAGAAGAAUUGGAGAAAAACUUAAUGGGAAGAUCUUACCUGCUGUUUUACAACAACUGAAGGCAAGAACUAGAGGCCUAGGGCAUCUACCAGUGACAAAGGCUGGUUUUUUCUCUGCACAUGUUGAAGACAUCACAAACACUCACAACAGACAUGUAGUGAAGUCAUAUUUGCAUGAGUGUACAUGCCUAGAGUGGCAGCACACUAGCAAACCUUGUCCACAUGCGUUGGCUUUGAUUAUAGCAUAGGAGAGUGUGGAUGUGGAAUUGGAAGAUUUUGUGCAUGAGUUCUACUCAGUACAAAGGUUCAAAAAAUGCAUACAAGAGAAUAAUUGAACCACUACCUGAUAGGUCUCAAUGGCCAACAGUGGAUCUUCCCUAUGCGAUUGUUGCACCACUUAACAAGAGAGGUAAAGGAAGGUAUAAGAAACUAAGAAUUAAGAAUUGUUUGGAAGGUGGGAAUAUCAAAGGAAAAAAAGUAGCUACAGAGAAAGGCAAGGAAGCUGACAAGAAUGCAGUACUAGAAGCUGACAUGGAGGGUUCAAACCAAUCUGAGAAGGGGAAAAGGAAUAUGAUUAGAGGCAAAAGAAAGUGCAAAAGAUGUGGAGAAUUAGGUCACAGUGAAACUAGCUACAAGUGCCCAUUGAACAGAACAAAGAAAAGGUAAGUGAUGAAAUGUCUAAUUUGAACAUGUGCACUGUUAUAUUUGUAUCCAACUUGUAGGAAGAGAAAGCCUCACAUGAAUAGAACAAAGUAUGGGGAUAAUGCCAAAAUCCCCAAAACUCGACUUCAAGAAAGUGUCCAAGGUCAAGGUGCUGUCCAAGGUGAAGCUACUAUCGAACUUGAAAUUGUUCAAGAUCAUGGUGCUAUCCAAAGUGAAGUUGAUGUCCAACUUGAAGAAGCUAUCCAACUCGAAGUUUCUCUUCCGAUUACACCAACAAGGGAGUCUAUUUUACAGGACAGCCCAAUCAGAGUCACUAGGAGGUAAUUAUGAUUAUGUUGUAUCAAGUCAGAGCUAGUUGUGUCAUUAAAUUAUACUGUUCUUCAUUUUUUCAGCAAGCUUGAUAUGUUGCUGGGAGAUGUCCAGUCACCUGCCAAGAAUACAACUCCUAAGAAGAUGCUAGUGAAGAAGCUCACACCAAGGAAGCUGAAGAGAGUCUAAUAAGUUGUUGUUUUAUGUGUUAUCCAAUAUUUUAGUUCUCCUAAUAAGUUGUUGCUGGGAGAUGGACCAUUCAAGGAUUUUUAGUCGUUCUCUUUGUUGUGCUAGUUACUUUGGACUGAAACAAAUGUGUGUUGUUAUGUUCAAGAUCAUGAACUAUUAGUGUGCUGCUAUUUGAAACAAAUAUUUAGAAGUUGUUAGUGUGCAUAUCUUUUGUUAUUGUCGAAGAUUAUGAACUUUGUUUGUGCUCACAAAUAUUUAGAAUCUUGGAACCUGGCACUGACAGCCUAGAGCCUGACAGCAUGUUUGAGCUGUGGCCAUCAGCCGGAGGGGCAGUAUGUCUGUCUGGAGAUGAACCAUGUAGAGAAUUCUAGCGUACAGUUUUGGUUUAGGGGUAAAACUGUCCGAUCAAUUGGCAUUUUGUCAAAUAACCCCUAAAUGACAUUUUGUCUGUAAGCCAGUGUUUGAGAAUGGCGUAUUAACGAAGUGUGUUCUCAUAAUGGCAUUCGAGCAAAUCCUAAGUUUCAUAAUGGCAUAAUUCCAAUUUUCUCUAGCCACAUGCCCGAGCCCCCAGUGGAGGUGUCACACCCGGGUUUUAGGGACCCGGGCGUGAGAAUAAUCACCAAGUGUGCUGGGAUCAAAUCUCACACAUAUGAUGACUCAUGGUACAGAAACGAAUACCACAUCUUUACUAUAUAAUAGGAGUUCUGUAGAAAAUAGUUAAAUAAUUACAUCAUGCAAAGACAACGAUCCAGCAACACAAAGAUGACCGGGAGACAAUGACCUAGACCACUCACGAACUCAUCACAACAUCCUUCAUGCGCCUCAUCCUGCGGUAGCUAUUCUUGACCUGGGGGAUGUGAGUACAACAAGGGUGAGCUCACAUACGUUCAUCGCUCAAAAAUUUGUGGGGAAUAAUGUGCAUGAACUCACCAAAGGUGGGAGCUCAUGUGAAGUGUAAGGCUUACCAAAGGAGAUGGUUAAAGCUAAGCAUUGCUUUUAAAGUUGGUCAAAUUUUUAUUAGUAGUUACUAAGUAUAAGUAGAUACCGACCCAAUAACUAAGAGAUCAAAAUUGAUAACAACACCCACAAUGCAAUGCAUAUGACAAAUUGAGUUUAGUUCCAUAGAUUAAUCAUGCGAGAGUCCUGGGCUGCUCAUGACUGCGAGCACGACUGAUAUACUAGUUUUACACUUUACAGAAGUUGCGCCCUUUACCCGCAAGUCGUGUAUCCCGUCUAGCCAGGGUUAGCUAGACCUUUAGACACUUCCAAGGUGAAUGGCUAGGGAUCCACUACGAGUCCUUUUCAAAGUUCCACUAGCUUCAGAAAAUCCGCUACAGUUUCUAGGAAGGGCAAUAUAGGAAUCCCUCGUCCUAAAAGCCAUCGCAACAUGAUCGACCCAAGAACCUCCCUAUACACAACUCCCCUACUGCUCUUGCCCCUUUCAGGUAAGGUAGUUCUCCACUAGCUUUCCUAAUUAGUCAGCCAAGGGCGUCCCAUUCCACCUUUGUGGUAGCACGUGUUUCUCAAGUUAAGCUCCAUGUUCCAAUUAACACAAUGAUAUUGUCAUGAGCAAUAAUUAAAACAACAGUAUAAUUGGAACAUGAUCAUAAUGUAAUAUUAAUCCCAAAACCAGAUAGAGAAAUAGCAAAACUACCCAAAAGUUUAGUGGUAAACAAGGUGUGAGAUAAACAAGUCUAGAGAAACCUAUUAGGUCCCAUCAAAUUAACCUGAGCAUGUCACAACGAUUAAUAGGAACAUUAUUGAGUAAAGAAAAGUGAUCAAGGGCACAACUUGCCCAAGACUCGAGAUUCCAGGUACCAGGAUGAUCUUCAGAUUCUCGUGACCUCACAGCUUUUCAUAGUAAUACAAACAAACAUGGUAUAGGCAAAAUUAACAUCACACCAAACAUAAGCACAAACUACAUAAUAAUAUUCUACGCGUCGUAAUGAGAUCAUAGGAUCGAGAAUCACUAAAUUCAGAGUUACGGUUAAGAAAAUAUGGUUUUCGAAAGAUUUUAAUGUUUAAAAUAAUUAACACUAGGCCUUAAAUUAAUUCUAUCAAUUAUGUGGGAAAGAUAAUCUAAGAAAUUAUUAAUUCAAUUUUAAUCUAAACUAUAACUUUAUCAUAGUUCAUCUACUGGUCAACUUAUAUUUAUAGUUAGAUUCCUUAGAUAAAAAGAUUAAUCUACUCUAUAUAGGAUAAAUAAUACCUAACUAUAAAAGUAUGAGAUUUGACAAAAUAAGGUUUUGUCAUUGUGUAGUAAAUUUUAUUGCGAAUCAAACGCAAUUUGAACGGGUCAAAUCGGAGUUAGAAUAAAUUAUUUAUGGAUUUUCUAUGAUUUUUGGAAUUACUUUUAUACUUAGAAAUCAGUUUUUGGAUUUUGUUAUUGUUGUUAACCGAAAAAUGGGCGGCGACAUUAAUUUCCCAAAGGUCCGAGUCUAUUUUAUAAAUAGUAGGACUAAUUUGUAAUGGUUUUUAUAUUGCAUAGGACAGCAGGUUGAUUAUUUAAGAACCUGAGGACUCUUGCGCAAAAAAGGACGUGGAUGAAGGGGUAUGGUUCAAUUCUGAACAUUGGAUGCAUACCCAAGAUCCCAAAUUAGAUCUUUAAAUAGCACCAAUAGGUAUGCAUUUGUAGCGGUUGGAUUAAAGAUCAACGAUAGAGCGCCCCAGAGCGACCGGGCCGUCUACCAAUCAACCGACGACGAGGAUGCAUCCCACGAAAAUGGGGGGAUAUGUUUUAAUCCUAAUCGUCCAACGCCGAUCCGACUGCCACGACCACAUCUCACAACAAUGCCCCGAUUCCCCACCGAAUCGGUAUCCACUGAUCUAAUAUUAAUCGUCGAUGCACGAUCCAAUGGUCCGAGGCGUGCUUCUACCCUUUGACCUCCAGAGCGGCGGCGCGAACCCGACCUACGGUGGUGCUCCGCCGGUGGAUGGCCAUCACCCGUACUAGCGCAAAAUCCCCAUGAAAAAUCAGUGUUACACGCAGAGGACACCAAGGCAAAAACAAUUGGAGUUGUCUUACCGUCGAUCGACACAUAGGGACGGUAGUCCAUGACGGAGCAUAGAUUUGGGCGGAGUUCCGCAAUGACGAGAAAUUCUAGGGCCCCUGAGGCUGGCUGCUCCGGCAACCACCCGGAUUCGGGACCAACGCGAGCACGCUGCUCGCACCAUACAAUUUUCGAGGGCUAGGGCGACCUAGUGGCAAAGUUGGGUGGUGGUGGUGGAAGCUUUUCUCCCUCCUUCGUCCUUUCUGUUUCGCUGCGAUUGCCCUCGGUGUCGUAUUCUAUGAGGGGAAUAGGGGAUCUCAGGCUUGGCUUUUAUGCACCACGGGUGGAGUCCGCGUGGGGGGUAAUCGAUUGGUGGAUCUCCCCGAAACGCAGAGUGGUCGCGACGCGCUGAGUCCGUCAGAGGAUAGGGAUGAUUUUG
rnacentral:lncRNA from 1 species